UCGGAGAGUUUGAUCCUGGCUCAGGAUGAACGCUGGCGGCGUGCCUAAUACAUGCAAGUCGAGCGAACUGAUUAGAAGCUUGCUUCUAUGACGUUAGCGGCGGACGGGUGAGUAACACGUGGGCAACCUGCCUGUAAGACUGGGAUAACUUCGGGAAACCGAAGCUAAUACCGGAUAGGAUCUUCUCCUUCAUGGGAGAUGAUUGAAAGAUGGUUUCGGCUAUCACUUACAGAUGGGCCCGCGGUGCAUUAGCUAGUUGGUGAGGUAACGGCUCACCAAGGCAACGAUGCAUAGCCGACCUGAGAGGGUGAUCGGCCACACUGGGACUGAGACACGGCCCAGACUCCUACGGGAGGCAGCAGUAGGGAAUCUUCCGCAAUGGACGAAAGUCUGACGGAGCAACGCCGCGUGAGUGAUGAAGGCUUUCGGGUCGUAAAACUCUGUUGUUAGGGAAGAACAAGUACAAGAGUAACUGCUUGUACCUUGACGGUACCUAACCAGAAAGCCACGGCUAACUACGUGCCAGCAGCCGCGGUAAUACGU
rnacentral:rRNA from 2 species